rnacentral:lncRNA from 1 species
GGUGGAACCGGGCCCCUCCAUGGGCCUGGGGUGGUGGCACUGGAUGGGGCUGCCUGUGAGCUCAGCUAUGGACUCUGGGGCUUGGUUUCUCUGCCAGACGAUCCCCCAGCCUUCCCCUUUCACCCUGGAGCCAAACCCUCCCCCUGCAGGAAUGUUUUUCGUAGGGGGGGAGGUUGGCGCAGCUCCAGCUGCUGCAUUUUUCCAUGCCCAGAGACUGUCUCCUGCCUUAAAUGGCCCCAUAACAUGGGCAGCGUCUGCUCUCCUGCAGUCACCUAUUUAAGGGUUUUUUGGAUCCAGACCCCAGCACGGAGUGGGAUGACACCAGCCCAGCACCCCGCAGCUGGGCUGAGCCCUGUGAGGGGCUGCUGGGGCAUGUGGGGCUGGUUGCCCUGUGGUCCCCCCGCAGCAAUAUGCCAUGGGAGAGGCCAGUGCUGCUCCAGCUCUCCAAGCAUCUCCCUUCCCUGUGUGCAGGUCAGAUUUCCUAUAUCCAGGUCCACAUCCUGGUUUUACAGGGACCUGGGCCACGUGGCAGCGUGUGAGCCAGCAGCAGCAUCCCCUGCACAGAGACACCCUUGCUGUGGGCAGCCUGUGCCACCAAGAGAUGCUCCUGGGCUCCUCCAGGCACAGUUCCUGCCCAUGGCCUUGAACCAGCUGCCCCUGAGCCCUCCUGCCCUCCAUAGCAUCUUCCACCACCCAGGAAGCCUCCCUGCAAGCUCAGCUCUGGGACAUGCAGCAAGAGGUGCAAAGGGACCUGGAGUUUCCUAA